rnacentral:rRNA from 1 species
UACGAAGGGGGCUAGCGUUGCUCGGAAUUACUGGGCGUAAAGGGAGCGUAGGCGGUCUUAUAAGUCAGUGGUGAAAUCUCGUUGCUUAACAACGAACGUGCCAUUGAUACUGUAGGACUUGAGUACAGUUGCCGUUGGCGGAAUGUGUCAUGUAGCGGUGAAAUGCAUAGAUAUGACACAGAACACCGAUUGCGAAGGCAGCUGACGAAACUGUAACUGACGCUGAGGCUCGAAAGCGUGGGGAUCAAACAGG